rnacentral:rRNA from 1 species
UACGUAGGGUCCGAGCGUUGUCCGGAAUUAUUGGGCGUAAAGAGCUCGUAGGCGGCUUGUUGCGUCGGCUGUGAAAGUCCAGGGCUCAACCCUGGAAUGCCGGUGGAAACUGUCGAGCUCGAGUCCGGAAGAGGCGAGUGGAAUUCCUGGUGUAGCGGUGAAAUGCGUAGAUAUCAUGAGGAAUACCAGAGGCGAAGGCGGCUACCUGGACAAUUGCUGACGCUCAGGCACGAAAGCGUGGGGAGCAAAAGGG